UACGAAGGGUGCAAGCGUUAAUCGGAAUUACUGGGCGUAAAGCGUGCGUAGGCGGUUCGUUAAGUCUGAUGUGAAAGCCCUGGGCUCAACCUGGGAAUGGCAUUGGAUACUGGCGGGCUAGCGUGCGGUAGAGGGGGGCGGUAUUUCCGGUGUCGCGGUGAAAUGCGUCGAGAUCGGGAGGAACAUCUGCGGCGAAGGCGGCACCCUGGACCAGUUCAGGCGCUGAGGCACGUAAGCGUGGGGAGCAAACUCG
rnacentral:rRNA from 1 species